rnacentral:rRNA from 1 species
AAGAGACAGCAGUCGCCGCGGUAAUACGGAGGGUGCAAGCGUUAUCCGGAUUUAUUGGGUUUAAAGGGUCCGUAGGCGGAUCUGUAAGUCAGUGGUGAAAUCUCACAGCUUAACUGUGAAACUGCCAUUGAUACUGCAGGUCUUGAGUAAAUUUGAAGUGGCUGGAAUAAGUAGUGUAGCGGUGAAAUGCAUAGAUAUUACUUAGAACACCAAUUGCGAAGGCAGGUCACUAAGAUUUAACUGACGCUGAUGGACGAAAGCGUGGGGAGCGAACAGGAUUAGAUACCCCAGUAGUCCCUGUCUCUUAUAC